CACGUAGGGCGCAAGCGUUGUCCGGAAUUAUUGGGCGUAAAGAGCUCGUAGGCGGUCUGUUGCGUCCGCUGUGAAAACCCAGGGCUUAACCCUGGGCUGGCAGUGGAUACGGACAGACUAGAGGUAGGUAGGGGAGAAUGGAAUUCCCGGUGUAGCGGUGAAAUGCGCAGAUAUCGGGAAGAACACCCGUGGCGAAGGCGGCUCUCUGGGACGGUACUGACGCUGAGACGCGAAAGCGUGGGGAGCGAACAGG
rnacentral:rRNA from 1 species